rnacentral:lncRNA from 1 species
AUAUUUUUUUCUUUCAGGAAAAGUAAAAGUAAUUAUGGUAACUUUUAUUUUCCUUCUAAGAAAAAGUAAAACUUAAAUAUAGUAAGAAAAUUAGGACAAAAAUCCUAACAAAUCUCCCCUUUUUGGCUUGAUUUUCUUCACUUGAUCUGCCUUCUUCACAUCUUUAAUCGUUUUUUUUUUUCAUAUAGUCUUCAUCAUUGCUGCUUGGCAUGCUUAAAAAUAGAGCUUUUGGGUUAGAAGUAUAUGAGCCUUUUUCGGGUUAAAAAUAUUGGAGUCCUUUAUAGGGUUAAAAAUAAGAUUUCUUUUCAAAUAUAAAACAAUAGGAUUAUUGAAAAUAUGAUUGACAAUCAUCUCCACAUGUAGCUUUUGAACAUAUAUCUUCAUUAUCAUCAAAUUGAUUGCAACUUUGUUCGACAAUUGGACCAUCGAAUCAUUGAACCGUGGGUUUUGAUACCACUUGUUGGAUUCGAAAUCAAAAGGGCGUCAUGCGGAAGCUAUUAGUUGCAAACUACGAGACGAUAAAUAAGAUGACAACGAAAAACAAUACUAAAAACAUAAUUUUAUUAUAUGAUUUGGCCAAUUGGCCUACAUAUAAAACCUAAUACUAAAAAUAAUAUUAAAAAACAUAAAACUAAUGAGAGAGAAAAUCUCCCCCUAAACGAAAUUCUUAAAAGACUACAUCGUGG